rnacentral:rRNA from 1 species
UCUACGGGAGGCAGCAGUGGGGAAUCUUCCGCAAUGGGCGCAAGCCUGACGGAGCAACGCCGCGUGGGGGACGAAGGCCUUCGGGUCGUAAACCCCUGUCAGUGGGGACGAGGGGCCGGGGGGUGAACAGCCCCCGGGCUUGACGGUACCCGCAGAGGAAGCCACGGCCAACUCCGUGCCAGCAGCCGCGGUAAUACGGAGGUGGCGAGCGUUGUUCGGAAUUACUGGGCGUAAAGGGCGCGUAGGCGGGGGGAGAAGUCGGGUGUGAAAGCCCUCGGCUCAACCGAGGAACGGCGCUCGAGACUCUCUCUCUUGAGUCCCGGAGAGGACGAUGGAAUUCCCGGUGUAGCGGUGAAAUGUGUAGAGAUCGGGAGGAACACCGGUGGCGCAGGCGGUCGUCUGGACGGUGACUGACGCUGAGGCGCGAAAGCGUGGGGAGCAAACGGGAUUAGAUACCCCGGUAGUCCACGCGGUAAACGAUGGGGGCUAGGUGUGGGGGGUAUCGACCCCCUCCGUGCCGAAGCUAACGCAUUAAGCCCCCCGCCUGGGGAGUACGGCCGCAAGGUUGAAACUCAAAUGAAUUGACGGA